rnacentral:lncRNA from 1 species
AAUUUUUCUCAUUUGAAAUUUCAUAAAUUAAAAAGAAAAUUUCUUCAAACAUUUUUUUGAGAGGAUUAAUAUUCAACAGCAUAGUGAAUUGCUCUAAGAGAAAACAAAAAUUUUAAGUUCAUUAGAACACAUUCAUUCUGUGUCAGAAACCUAUGCUGUGUCAACUAUUUAAUCACAAUCCAAAUUUAGAGCUGAAUCCAGCUUGAAUGUUGUGUCCAUACUUGCCCCAACCGUUCAGGGUUCAACCUCUGGGGUCGUAUAAAGCUGCGCCCUGCGGAGCAUCUGGUU